AGCGUACACGGUGGAUGCCCUGGCAGUCAGAGGCGAUGAAGGACGUGCUAAUCUGCGAUAAGCGUCGGUAAGGUGAUAUGAACCGUUAUAACCGGCGAUUUCCGAAUGGGGAAACCCAGUGUGAUUCGUCACACUAUCAUUAACUGAAUCCAUAGGUUAAUGAGGCGAACCGGGGGAACUGAAACAUCUAAGUACCCCGAGGAAAAGAAAUCAACCGAGAUUCCCCCAGUAGCGGCGAGCGAACGGGGAGCAGCCCAGAGCCUGAAUCAGUGUGUGUGUUAGUGGAAGCGUCUGGAAAGGCGUGCGAUACAGGGUGACAGCCCCGUACACAAAAAUGCACAUAUUGUGAGCUCGAUGAGUAGGACGGGACACGUGGUAUCCUGUCUGAAUAUGGGGGGACCAUCCUCCAAGGCUAAAUACUCCUGACUGACCGAUAGUGAACCAGUACCGUGAGGGAAAGGCGAAAAGAACCCCGGCGAGGGGAGUGAAAAAGAACCUGAAACCGUGUACGUACAAGCAGUGGGAGCACGCUUAGGCGUGUGACUGCGUACCUUUUGUAUAAUGGGUCAGCGACUUAUAUUCUGUAGCAAGGUUAACCGAAUAGGGGAGCCGAAGGGAAACCGAGUCUUAACUGGGCGUUAAGUUGCAGGGUAUAGACCCGAAACCCGGUGAUCUAGCCAUGGGCAGGUUGAAGGUUGGGUAACACUAACUGGAGGACCGAACCGACUAAUGUUGAAAAAUUAGCGGAUGACUUGUGGCUGGGGGUGAAAGGCCAAUCAAACCGGGAGAUAGCUGGUUCUCCCCGAAAGCUAUUUAGGUAGCGCCUCGUGAAUUCAUCUCCGGGGGUAGAGCACUGUUUCGGCAAGGGGGUCAUCCCGACUUACCAACCCGAUGCAAACUGCGAAUACCGGAGAAUGUUAUCACGGGAGACACACGGCGGGUGCUAACGUCCGUCGUGAAGAGGGAAACAACCCAGACCGCCAGCUAAGGUCCCAAAGUCAUGGUUAAGUGGGAAACGAUGUGGGAAGGCCCAGACAGCCAGGAUGUUGGCUUAGAAGCAGCCAUCAUUUAAAGAAAGCGUAAUAGCUCACUGGUCGAGUCGGCCUGCGCGGAAGAUGUAACGGGGCUAAACCAUGCACCGAAGCUGCGGCAGCGACACUAUGUGUUGUUGGGUAGGGGAGCGUUCUGUAAGCCUGUGAAGGUGUACUGUGAGGUAUGCUGGAGGUAUCAGAAGUGCGAAUGCUGACAUAAGUAACGAUAAAGCGGGUGAAAAGCCCGCUCGCCGGAAGACCAAGGGUUCCUGUCCAACGUUAAUCGGGGCAGGGUGAGUCGACUCCUAAGGCGAGGCCGAAAGGCGUAGUCGAUGGGAAACAGGUUAAUAUUCCUGUACUUGGUGUUACUGCGAAGGGGGGACGGAGAAGGCUAUGUUGGCCGGGCGACGGUUGUCCCGGUUUAAGCGUGUAGGCUGGUUUUCCAGGCAAAUCCGGAAAACUAAGGCUGAGGCGUGAUGACGAGGCACUACGGUGCUGAAGCAACAAAUGCCCUGCUUCCAGGAAAAGCCUCUAAGCAUCAGGUAACAUCAAAUCGUACCCCAAACCGACACAGGUGGUCAGGUAGAGAAUACCAAGGCGCUUGAGAGAACUCGGGUGAAGGAACUAGGCAAAAUGGUGCCGUAACUUCGGGAGAAGGCACGCUGAUAUGUAGGUGAAGUCCCUCGCGGAUGGAGCUGAAAUCAGUCGAAGAUACCAGCUGGCUGCAACUGUUUAUUAAAAACACAGCACUGUGCAAACACGAAAGUGGACGUAUACGGUGUGACGCCUGCCCGGUGCCGGAAGGUUAAUUGAUGGGGUCAGCGCAAGCGAAGCUCUUGAUCGAAGCCCCGGUAAACGGCGGCCGUAACUAUAACGGUCCUAAGGUAGCGAAAUUCCUUGUCGGGUAAGUUCCGACCUGCACGAAUGGCGUAAUGAUGGCCAGGCUGUCUCCACCCGAGACUCAGUGAAAUUGAACUCGCUGUGAAGAUGCAGUGUACCCGCGGCAAGACGGAAAGACCCCGUGAACCUUUACUAUAGCUUGACACUGAACAUUGAGCCUUGAUGUGUAGGAUAGGUGGGAGGCUUUGAAGUGUGGACGCCAGUCUGCAUGGAGCCGACCUUGAAAUACCACCCUUUAAUGUUUGAUGUUCUAACGUUGACCCGUAAUCCGGGUUGCGGACAGUGUCUGGUGGGUAGUUUGACUGGGGCGGUCUCCUCCUAAAGAGUAACGGAGGAGCACGAAGGUUGGCUAAUCCUGGUCGGACAUCAGGAGGUUAGUGCAAUGGCAUAAGCCAGCUUGACUGCGAGCGUGACGGCGCGAGCAGGUGCGAAAGCAGGUCAUAGUGAUCCGGUGGUUCUGAAUGGAAGGGCCAUCGCUCAACGGAUAAAAGGUACUCCGGGGAUAACAGGCUGAUACCGCCCAAGAGUUCAUAUCGACGGCGGUGUUUGGCACCUCGAUGUCGGCUCAUCACAUCCUGGGGCUGAAGUAGGUCCCAAGGGUAUGGCUGUUCGCCAUUUAAAGUGGUACGCGAGCUGGGUUUAGAACGUCGUGAGACAGUUCGGUCCCUAUCUGCCGUGGGCGCUGGAGAACUGAGGGGGGCUGCUCCUAGUACGAGAGGACCGGAGUGGACGCAUCACUGGUGUUCGGGUUGUCAUGCCAAUGGCACUGCCCGGUAGCUAAAUGCGGAAGAGAUAAGUGCUGAAAGCAUCUAAGCACGAAACUUGCCCCGAGAUGAGUUCUCCCUGACUCCUUGA
rnacentral:rRNA from 1 species